rnacentral:ncRNA from 1 species
GAGAGCCGGAUGCGGGGAAAUCUCGCCUGUCCGGUUCGGGGAGGGGCCGACGGAAAAGGACCCGAACCACGGGCACCUCGCCGUCGGCCUACUCCAC